rnacentral:rRNA from 1 species
UACGGGGGGGGGUAAGCGUUGUUCGGAAUUACUGGGCGUAAAGGGCUCGUAGGCGGCCAACUAAGUCAGACGUGAAAUCCCUCGGCUUAACCGGGGAACUGCGUCCGAUACUGGUUGGCUUGAGUUUGGGAGAGGGAUGCGGAAUUCCAGGUGUAGCGGUGAAAUGGCGUAGAUAUCUGGAGGAACACCGGUGGCGAAGGCGGCAUCCUGGACCAAUACUGACGCUGAGGAGCGAAAGCCAGGGGAGCAAAGCGGG